UAGAAUACUUUAAAGCUAAGGCGGAUGUUGAAUGCCUACAUUUUAUGCAACUUUGAUUUGUUCAGUGAUGGAGUUGGCGUCGAUAAAGUGAAAUUUGGCACUAGUGGCUGGAGGGAGAGAUACUACAAGGAGAAAUUUUGUGCUGAGAGUCCAGACGAGAUCGAAGCCACAAGAAAAUCUCUCGUUGCGAGUUACUGCGAGGGACUAUGUUGGCUUCUCCUAUGUUAUUUUUCUGGAGUUCCAUCAUG